AGGCUGCUCGCAAAAUUAGUGAGUUAGUCUGUAGCGUGUGCUGGAGUGGCGCAAUUGGUAGCGCAACGGUCUUGUA
rnacentral:tRNA from 1 species